rfam:Flavobacterium subsaxonicum WB 4.1-42 = DSM 21790 strain WB 4.1-42 contig2, whole genome shotgun sequence.
UAACUUUGCACCCAAAUUAGGAUAAACCUAAUCUACAUAAUAAUUAUUUAAAGAAUAUUAGCAUG